rnacentral:rRNA from 1 species
UACGAAGGGUGCAAGCGUUACUCGGAAUUACUGGGCGUAAAGCGUGCGUAGGUGGUUCGUUAAGUCUGAUGUGAAAGCCCUGGGCUCAACCUGGGAAUGGCAUUGGAAACUGGCGACCUAGAGUGCGGUAGAGGGUAGUGGAAUUCCCGGUGUAGUGGUGAAAUGCGUAGAUAUCGGGAGGAACACCAGUGGCGAAGGCGACUUCCUGGCCUGUUCUUGACGCUGAGGCGCGAAAGCUAGGGGAGCAAACGGG